AGCUGGGUGUGAGGAGGGAAUCUGGCACACUGCCUUUGUUCAGAAAUGCAAGAGCCGCUAACUCGAGUGGGUGGCAGAACCUUAAUGUGAAACAUUGGUCUCUUGGCAGGUUUAAUAGAGGUUUUCUGUAACUGCCUGCAUCCAUCACCCAUGCUUCCCUGGCAGAAGAGCUGGGGCCUGUGCCUGGCAGCUGGGAGCAGGAGGCAGGAGGCCGGGCCUGGCACCUGCAUCAGUGCCAGGGGCUCGCUGCCCUUCACAGCCAGCUCCACUUAGGCUGGCCAGAGACAGUCGGACAGUACCAAGUGGAAGUCCUCAAAGGAAUCUCAGGGAAAGCAAGAGGAAGCCUACGUCAACCCUCAAAGCUUGACAGAAGCAAACACAACAGAGCAUGCAUUGAUUUCUUAGAGAAACAAAGAAGACACCAGGCUGUUCACAGAAAAUCUCCCUUUUCGCUCUGCAGCAACAAUUGAGCUGAGCAAGUUCUCCCCACCCUGCUGGGGUUAAAUGCACGGGGACCUUCAGCUACACAUGCGUGGCUUCACCUGCAGCAGCUCCCAGGACAGGCUGGCUCAGCUCCUGAGAGCAAGGACAGCAGUUCCUUCAGACAGGCAUGUGGUGCUAUCAGUGGGUCUGCUCCAAAGCCCAGUGAAGGUGAAGAACAGGUCCCUUGCUGAGGAGAUCUUCGUGGAGCUCACUGAGGAGCUCUUGCCACUCCAGAAAUCUCCUUCUAGCAGGGAGACGUGCUGCAUCCCAAAGCAACUAAGCGUACAUGCGCUUAACGAACUCAAGUUCAGCUCCUUUCACCGACCAAAAUAAAUUGUUUCCAUGCCUGCCCAGAUUGUAAAUUAGUAGAACAAACAGUCAUUUAAAAUGAAUGAUUUCAAGUCAGAGGAAUACAAAUCAGAGACUGUAUUUCUUCUCACUGGAGGAAUACUGUUGCACCAAAAAUAUUACUUAGAUUUUCAAUCUUCUAUAGACCAGACAAAAGAUCUUCAUUAUCAAGCAAUCAACAGACAAUAAAACCAGCUCUGACUCCACAUCUGACAUGGCCUGGCUUUGACAGAUCAUUCCCUUUGGUGCCUUUACACGUAGCGAAUGUUGCCAGCUGCCAGGGCUCACAUCUUUAUUUGGCUUGUGUGGAGCUGGACACAGAAAGGUUUUACUUCAGAAUUCACCAAUUCUCUUAGGCUGCAGCUCCAUCUUUUCUGCCAUCCUCACCAGCAUUGCUUUCCUCCACCUGGGCCACGAAGCUGGGGGGUUAGUGGGUGAGCCAGGGUCAUGGCUCUGCUGAAGAGGUGUGGGUGAAGGCAGGACAGCCGUGUGGACCAUGUUAAAAAAGGUUGCCCUCAGACUGGUUUAGAUGUCUGAUGAACCCAUUAUUCAAAAGCGAGUUCCUAAUUUGAUACAAACUGCUGGAAGCAUGGGCACCAAAGUCCAGUUGCGCGAAGUACAGCACAGCCUGAACUGCAAACACUUCGGGCCUGAUUCGGGCUGCUGCAAAGUCACCAGGACUCUCUCACUGCCUCCAGUGGGGUUUUGAUGUGAUCCUUACUGAAUAAACAAUCAGGAAGUAAACAUGUAUAGAAUCUGAUUAUCUGGUCUCCAGCCUCUUGAUGAACUCUCUGCUGCAUCAUGUAAAUACAACUUUGGCAUGUCAAAUUCCAGCAAAACGCAGCAGCCCUUCCAUCGCCCCGCUGCGCACCUCUGGCCAAGCUCAUCUCUGACCGCUGGUCAUACGUCGUGAGGGUCUGCUACACAAGUGGCAAGGCUAUGAUUUACAUCUGGUCUUUCUGGCCUAAAUAAUCAAUGGUGAGAUCUAUUUUACAUGAACUUUAAACAGCUGCAAGUGCCUGCACCAGGUAGCAUAUCUUCCCCACAAGCCCUCAGCCUUUCCAUGACCUACCAUGGCUCCAGGAUUGCCAAGAUGCUGCCCUGAGAUGAUCCGAACGCUCUCUCUUAUUUUAACAACAUGGCUGUUUGCUAUUCUGUCCAGGAGCAGUAAAGCUAUCAAUCAUCCAGAAGGAGACCAUUUUAAAGCACACUAAACAGCAAAUAAUUCUCUGCCCGGGAUAUUAAAAUAUCACAAACCACAAAUUUCCCCAUGUUAUUGCCUUGUAGCUGACAUCUGUCUGUGUUAGCACUGGGGGACCACGAACUGAGGAGCAGCUUGAUCUAUAGACUGCAGGAGGUCUAUAGACUGAGAAGGUGAUGUGCUCAUACUAAGACUAGGGUAAAAGGCUGUGCACAAGAGAGCCUUGUGCAGACUGCUCCCAGGCUUUGCAUUGCUUUUGCAGCCCCUUCUUCUCCAAUACAUUGACUUAUAAUCGCUGCUGUGUUUGAAUGGCGUGUCCGUGGGGUAGGUACUGUUGGACAUGUCAGGUAGAGGCUUGGCCAGCAUGUCUGGCACAGACCUCUUUGUGAAGGAGAGGGUAUCUGCAUCAAUUGCUGCCUCAUUUUGGGGCCCAUCUGCUCUUUUGGACCUGGGAAUUAUUGCCCUAAUGACAUGCAUGCAGUACAUCUGUGCCCUCAGCUACUCAAAAACAGUGUUUAGGGUGCUGACCAAGUCAGAGUCCAAGUUAUCUUCACAUGCUCCUGCAGGGUCAGAUCCAUCCAGACAUCACGUGUCCUGGCACAAGGAGUAUUACUGGGGAGAUAGAAGGGCACGAGGCUAUAGUCAUACAUAGACUGACACACGCUCUCUCCAAAAAGAAAAAAUUAUUUGUACAGUCUGCUUGUCCUUCCCAGCCCUUAGGUACUGUUAGAUAAACACUGUUAAAUAAAAUCCUGCAGAUGUGGAAAAGAGGAGCUUCUCCUAAGUUAAAAUCAAGAAUGAGGGGCAUCAUCUGGCAUUAAGGGAGAGGUUUUGGACACAAAGGAGGACAAAGCCCUGUACUGCCCUGUGGAAAGAUACUGUAUAUAACUUUGGGUGACACAGGAAAAUUGGCACAUAGCAAAUACAAGGUCUGGAUUUUAACACCGAGAGACUUUGUGUUAUUUCCUGUGAUCCUCUGACACUCUGCAGUCAUUUUGUAGCUCCGAAAAUGAUGGUCAAGGUUUGACAAAAGGUAUAGCUCAUCAGUAUGUGCAGAAGCAUCUGCAAAAUCCAGAUGGGAAAAUGACCUUGGCUCCUGCAGUUAAAGAGAAAAUGAGGCUUGGGCAAGAUUAAUUCUCAGGGUUGCACACUGAUUUCAUUGGAGAUGCCCUAAGGGUGAGUUUGAUUCUGAAUCCCUUAGAGUUUCCGAAACAAAGCAAAAUCGAGGUGGGUGGCAGUAUGGAACUGAUGUGGGGUUUUGUUCUCUUGUUUUUUUUGUUUGUUUGUUCUUGCCAAUUGUUUCAGUACAAGCUACCAUGGUUUAAAACUUAUUCCUGCAGAUUUGCAGUAGCAGACAACUGUUUGACAAAGAAAAAGUAAGCCUUCACCUUAAACAAGCUCAUGCUGCCUUUGGAAAGAUUUCACUUCAUUGAUGAGCCUGCCUUUCCAUUCCAAGUACCUCCAGCUUUGACUCUCCGGAGUGCAUCCAUUCUGCUUCUUUGAAGCCACCGCCUGCUGAUGUGUUUGCAGAAGCUUCUCCCAGGGAAUGUAUUUUUGAACAGAAAAAUGGUUUUAUUGAAUUAAUAAUAGAUGGGCUUAAGCUGCAAUAGUUGAAGCUUGAUUUCUAUAUGGAUGUGGACUCCAAACUUUGUGCAGGUCUAGAGCGAGGUUAUCGUGAUCCUUGACAGUCAGAUAUAUCCCACUCUUAAUCUUUGUGUUGUUUGAAAUGCCAUUGCUUUAUAAGAGGCCUAUUCCAUCAACUGAAAUAGUGCAGUAUGUGUAUUUGGAGAUUAAAGAAAAAAGAGGCAAGCAGAGAAUUUUAAAGUUGGCUUCUGUUCUAUAGGGGAAAGAUGCGGAAAGAGAAUCUGAAGACGGAGAACUUGAAUUUAAGCCUCUUCCGUAGCAAAUUUGUGUCUCUGAGUCUGCGUGGUUAGCUGUGGUGCCACACACUGACUGUACGGUGUGAAUUCAGAUUUAUGUCCUACACUGCAGCCCAGUGACCCUGCUGGGAGAAUCACCCAGGCCUUGCUAGUGAAGGGCAAACCUUGCAGUGCCCUGAGUGCGACCUUGUGAAAGUUCAUUACAAAACUGUGUGAAAACUACCCUUCUGAAGCUCAGAGGAAAACUUCUGUAGAUUUAUGGCUGAGAUGGGAAUUACUUGUGUAGCCAUUUAUUGGUGAGACAGUGAGUGGUUCCUGCAUCCAUGCCAGAAAUCAAUGUCUUCCCAGUGGGUUGCUCCCUAUUGCUUCUGCUGUCUGUUCUGUCUGAUGUGCAGGAAGCACAGAAAAUAAAGGAAAUUAAACACGAAGAUAACACAAAGUGAAACACACCUCUUUUUGAUCUUCAAAUUGCACUGGCUUGCCUCUUUGUUUAACGGUGAAUUCUGCAGAAUUAUUUCAUUUGCCAGUUUGUGCAGUAAGUUGGAAAGCAGAAUUAAUAAGAAGGAGUGUCAGCGUCAGAGCUGCUUUGCUGGCAUGAAACCAGGCAAGAUGGCACUUUUCAUUGCCUGCUAGCUGCAAUCAGCGUGGGGAGCUUACACUGCUCUCAUGUCAGCUUUGCUGAGGGGAUGUGGACAUUGCAUCCUUCUGGGGAGUCCGCACUCAUGGUGCACAACGGGUGCACUUUAAGGCAUAAAGGUGCAAAGUGAGGCUGCUGACAGCUUGAAGGAUUGUGUGGGCUCUAUCAGCCAGACCCUAUCUGAGCGCAAAUUUUAAAAAAUGGUGUUGACAGACAACUUUCGUAACUUGCUUUGUUGAGUGUCAGCUUCACUUUACAGCACAUCGUCAUACGGCAGUGCUGACACUUGUGGCAUGACUUGCUGGCACGUCUUUUGUGCUGGUAGCUUUUUCUGCAUUUUUUUUUUUUUCCCCAGUAAAUCCCUGAUGGCACAAACUGGAGCUGUAUUAUGAAGUUUUGCUCUUGAUGCCUAAGCGAGAAGAGCUUUUUUUGUACAGCAUGUACAGGCAGAGCAGUGCAGCCAUCACAAUUAAAAGACACUCAAGGGUGGAACAUAAUGAUUCCUUUAAAUUAAAUGUAUUUCUGUGUGAGGAAGAGCUUUCUGCUGUUGGACUUACAAUGUCUGAAUUCUUCCAUUCAUUCAAAAGUCAUGGCAGCAUCUGUUAUUUUUGAGAGCAAAGGUUUGCUGCAGGCUUAGCAGAGCUAACAGUUGCCGGGGGCUAGGUGAGAUGAAAACAUCUUACUUUUAUGAUUCACAUUUCUGGGCCAUUUUCUGUGCUAGAGGUACUCCCAGUGCCAUGCAACCAUAGCUGGGAAGAGAAUUUGUCCUCCUAAUAUCACGCAGGCUAGGCAAGCCUUGUAGCUGCUAUAACAUUAAACUGAUUCACAGAGCUCCAGAAAUGGUUGUGGCGUAUGUGGAUAAAUAAAUAAAUAGAUAAAUAAAGUCACUCAUCAGGACUUUGACACUGGGAACUAGUGAGAAACAAUGACGAG